rfam:Xenopus laevis strain J chromosome 9_10L, whole genome shotgun sequence.
UCUGCUGUGCGUGAUGACUUACACUUUUUUCCCCAUCAGAUCGACAGUGUUGACCAUAAUCUGUUUUAAGCCAAACUGUCUGAUACACAGA